GUGGGAGGGGGCGUGCUCCCGAUUGCGGUGUAUCAGCCACUACAGCGGGUACUGAUACAUGGCAAUCGGGAGCACGCCCCCUCCCAC
rnacentral:misc_RNA from 1 species